rnacentral:ncRNA from 1 species
UAUUGUCUUAUGAAGAGAAUAGUAACAUGAGUUCAGGUAAAAGAGAGUCAGUGGUUGGUGUAAACUGGUACCCAUACUUUUGUGAAUCCGCCUUGGAGGAUUAUUAUGAUGAAUAAUACGGAAAACCGUUAUUUGAGUUGAGAGAAUUAUACAUAAAAGGUAUAAUUAAUAAGGGUGGCAACGCGAGUCAAUCGUCCCUAAA